AGGAAGACCAGAAACACCAGGAGGAGGAGAAGAAGAAAUAAUGAGUGAUUGUGUCUACAUUUACUGGAAGAGUUUGAUGUGGUAGAAAUGUUGCUUCUUUGGAGAAAUUUGUACUCAAAGAAUUACUCAUGUAGGAAGGGAUAUGCAAGUAGCUUCUGGGAUCAUGCCUCCAGUUAAUUCUGAUUGGAAAUAAAGAUUGCAGGAGUUAAGAGUUGGGGAGGAGAGAACAUUUGGAACCAUGAGGAAGAGGAAGGAGAGAGAGAUGCAGUGCCUGAGGAGUGUGCAGGGAAAAAAGCAGAGCCAUCAUAUAAAGGAGCCUGGAGAACAUGGCCCAGAGGGCUGAUCAGUUAAAUCAAGAACAACAGAAACUGAAGAAAGAAAUUAAUGUUCCUCUCUCCCUGCCAAUAAAAUUUCAUCCACCUUUG